rnacentral:rRNA from 1 species
GGGGAUCCUCUAGAGAUUCGUCCGCCGCGCGCGGCGGGCGGAGCGGGGGCACGGGGGGCCUACGGGAGGCAGCAGUGGGGGAUAUUGCACAAUGGGGGAAACCCUGAUGCAGCGACGCCGCGUGAGUGAAGAAGUAUUUCGGUAUGUAAAGCUCUAUCAGCAGGGAAGAUAAUGACGGUACCUGACUAAGAAGCACCGGCUAAAUACGUGCCAGCAGCCGCGGUAAUAAU